rnacentral:lncRNA from 10 species
GUUAGUGCCCUGGCUGUGAUGAAGUGGAACUUGUUACCCAAGGACUUCCCUUUUAGGCAGAAUGUCUGCUUUCCUACCAGGAAGAGUGGCUUGGCCCUCUGCUGAGGCUCUCAGAGGUUCUCCCAGCCUUGGGAUCGCUGAGUAAAACCAGUCAGCACCAUGUCACCCUAUGGAGACUGGUAUUACCUUGCGCCUGCCUCCAUCCCUGGGAUUUGCUGGUAGAAGAAAGGGAAUCAGCGCUGACUGAGCUCCUACUAUGUGCCCUUCCUGGGCCUGGCACUGGAAUCACAGGAUGAAUGAAUAAGGCAUAUUUCCUGCCCUGAGGAGGCGUCUAUAGGGGAAGUCGGAAUUAAGGCACCUCCAGAAUUCUGAGGUCAAGGGAAUGUCAACAGAGCUGUGAACAAAAUGCCCAAAGCCAUGAAAAUCUACAGAGAGAGACUCGAAGGGGAGGAAUGGGGUAGGAGCUGGUGCCGAGGAUGAGAGGGGAGAAUUCACCUGGUGGAGAACUGAUAGGCCAGGCUGAGGUCGGGAUGGUGGAGGAGGUGGUGGAGGUGAUGAGGUACCAGAGCAACCUCGAAGAAAGCUGAGAGGCAGGAGACCGCCAAAGGCAAACUUGGAACACCUGGUGACUCCGACUAACUCUCCAUGUGGUGUCCUUGAGGACUUUUAUGAUACUGCUACCACUGCUAAUAGUAAUAAAAGCCACUAUUUAAUGUGUUUACUAUGCGCUGGGUGUGCAAAUAUUGUGGAAAGAGUGAACAUAUGUGCAGAAUGCUUAAUAAACGUGAUCUCCUUUUAUCUUCAAAAGAACAAUACAGGCCAGGUGCGGUGGCUCAUGCCUAUAAUUCCAGCACUUUGGGAGGCCGAGGCAGAUGGAUUGCUUGAGCUCAAGAAGUUUCAGACCAGCCUGGGCAACAUGGCAAAACCCCAUCUCUACAAAAAAAUACCCAAAAAAUUAGCCAGGUGUGAUGUUGCCUGCCUGUGGUCCCAGCUACUCCAGAGGUUGAGGUGGGAGAAUCGCGUGAGCCCAGAAGGUCAAGGCUGCAGUGAGCUGUGAUCCUGCCACUGCACUCCAGCCUGGGGUGACAGAGUGAGACCCUGCCUAAAAAAAAAAGAAUCAAUACGAUUAAUACUUUUACUUCUAUUUUUCAGACAAGGAAAUUGAGGCUCAGAGAGGUUAGGAACUUGCCAGAAGACCUACCAGCAAGUGGCAGAGCUAAGGUCCCAUCUGACCCCAAAGCCCACCCAUAACCGCUAUGCAGUACUGUCCAGGCAGAAACACAAACAUUACCCCAUUGUUUUUAUUCUUCAACACCUUUGGUAUCAUCCAGUCCCAGGACACUGGCUCCUGAGGAAGGAAGGCCCCUCCCACAUCCUUUAAAAUUCCCAGGCAUAAAACCAUGUUCACCAGCCACCGUGAGGGUAAGCCUCAGAGACAGGGACCGUGCCCAC